rnacentral:lncRNA from 1 species
GGGACGUCGGCUGCUGAUGAAAUGAGCUGCCAACUAGUGGCUCAUUUGAUCAAAGGAGAAGAUAGUAUCUGGCUUCAAUGUUGAGUACCAAUUUCUUGCUGCUCCCUUCAAGGUAGAUGGGAAAGCUCGGCACAGGAUGGCGUCUGGUGCGCCAUGGAGCAGCAUCAUUAUCCAGAAGGCCUCCAGGUGGUCAACCAGAUCUG